rnacentral:rRNA from 1 species
UACGAAGGGGGCUAGCGUUGUUCGGAAUUACUGGGCGUAAAGCGCGCGCAGGCGGCUAUCCAAGUCAGUGGUGAAAGCCCGGAGCUCAACUCCGGAACUGCCAUUGAAACUGUUUAGCUUGAGGAUGAGAGAGGUGAGUGGAAUUCCCAGUGUAGAGGUGAAAUUCGUAGAUAUCUGGAGGAACACCGGUGGCGAAGGCGGCAUCCUGGACCGGCAUUGACGCUGAGGCGCGAAAGCCAGGGGAGCAAACGGG